AAUUGACGGGACCCGCACAAGCGGUGGAUGAUGUGGAUUAAUCGAUGCAACGCGAAAACCUUACCUACCCUUGACAUGUCUGGAACCUUGCUGAGAGGCGAGGGUGCCUUCGGGAGCCAGAACACAGGUGCUGCAUGGCUGUCGUCAGCUCGUGUCGUGAGAUGUUGGGUUAAGUCCCGCAACGAGCGCAACCCUUGUCAUUAGUUGCCAUCAUUUAGUUGGGCACUCUAAUGAGACUGCCGGUGACAAACCGGAGGAAGGUGGGGAUGACGUCAAGUCCUCAUGGCCCUUAUGGGUAGGGCUUCACACGUCAUACAAUGGUCGGUACAGAGGGUUGCCAAGCCGCGAGGUGGAGCCAAUCCCUUAAAGCCGAUCGUAGUCCGGAUCGUAGUCUGCAACUCGACUACGUGAAGUCGGAAUCGCUAGUAAUCGCAGAUCAGCACGCCGCGGUGAAUACGUUCCCGGGCCUU
rnacentral:rRNA from 1 species